CAAGAGAGAGAGAAAGUGCUUGUGUGACAGUGACAGCGGUCUGUCACCUGGGGUCUGGCAUUCACUAGGGAACUGCCAGUUACUAAGGAAACUAGGCAGGAGAGAGGAAGGGAGAGAGGCGGUUAGAUCCAAUUUUGGGUGACAAGUGUGAGGCAGAAGGAUUUUGGCCCUUCUGUGUGUUCCAGCCUGAGUGAAAUCUUUGGGGCUGGGCAGGAGCAGACACGGAGGAGCCCGUCACAGAAGGCCACCCUCUCCCCGGCGCCCAAGGCGGAACACAGGCCAGACACAGAGUGUGUGUGUACCCGUGUGUGUACCCGGGUGUGUACCCAUGUGCAUGCACAUGUGAGCUUGUGUGUGUGCACUUAGCUGUUCACGCCCACGCCUGUGCUGUCUACCUCUGUGUUUAUCCUUUUCUGUGUUUGGGGUGUUUUGCUUUUUUCCUUUGUUUUCUUCCUUCCUCUGGUUGCAAUUAAUCCCAUUUCCGCCGUUCCCUCUGUGCUGGUCUGUUCCGCCACUUGGCGUCUCUUCCCCACGCACCGCUCCCUUUCUCGGCCUCUUCCUGCGCCUCCCAGCGGCCUGUUCUCCCUGGGCUCCUCCUCCUUCCUACCAGCCUUCUCCUCCUGCCUCUUGGCUUUGCUUCCUUUAUCUCUUGCAGGCUUCAGCUCACCUUCAUUCCAUGUGGAACAAAGCACAAGGGACCCAGGGACUCUCUGCCAUCAUUGCCCAGGCUGGUGACGCCUGCUCAGGAAGAAAGAAUGGAGUCUGAAGGGAUGGGGGCCGUGCGGGAAGAGCACCCACACUCAUGCGAUUGGGGUGGGGACGGGGUCCCCAGGGAGCAUAAGUCAUUGUGGUCUCUGAAGCAGAAGGCCAAAGCACAGCAGAGACUGCAAGAGGGGUGAGCACGGGGGACCAACCCAGACAAAGGGGUCCCAGGGCAAGGCUUCUUUCUGGACCUCUUGACUUUUUAGGAGGCCAAGAAGAUGCUGCAGAAAAAGUGGUAAAAUCAUCAACUCUGGGUGGCCACAGGCCUGACUGGUGCCAAAGCAUUAUGGAUGGCACUUGGGGGUCUCAGGAGGCCUCGGGCUCUGGAUAGAGUCACCCAUCCUGCCUGAGAUGGAGAGUGCAGGGCAUGGCUGAACCUCUUGCUUUGUUUAGGGGACCCAAGUCCUCCCACUCGCUCCCUGCAAGCUGGGUCAGAGUUGCGCCAGCUCGUUUUUCUCACCGCCAGCCCUUCAUCCUUCCCUCUGUCUUCUCCCCUUCACACUGCUUGGUCUUUGCUUGUUCUCUCCUGGUGGGAGCAGGUACUGGGCUCGGCUGCGGCCAGGCCCCUGGCUCCAGGAGCCCUUCAAGGUGAACCCCGGGUUCUGGAGGGACCGUGCUGCAUCUUGUGCCGGUCUGAGACAGGGCAAGGCGCAUAUCCGCACAGGCUGCUUCGGAUGGGGCAUCCGAGGGGUCAAAGCGUCAUCAGGGGACAGGCAAGUUAGCUCAAUAAUCAAGCGUUCGUCAUGCCUAAAGACAGGAUCCGUUCAGUAAGCAUUCCCUUUCUCUCCAGAACCAGCGUCCCAGGAAUGCUUCCAAAAUAGGAGGUCCCUUUCAGCCCCAUCUUGCCAGAUAGACACUCUACCCUACUCAGCCGAUUUGGCCACCUAAAACCCAAGGGAAGCAAGUCAGCCCUCCUUGCUCCAGGGGGCGCUCUCUUUCCAAUACCUGACAUCAGCCCGACGGUGCUUCCAGGAGGCUAAGGUGCCUUUGGAGCCAGCAUCCCAGCAGGAGCCUGGUGUCAGUUUGAGAAGUCUCAGCACUGUUCAUGAAGCCACACAUGCUGCUCUCAACAAUCUUCGGACCGCGGGCUGUGGGGGCAUCCUCUGACCCCUCCGGCCAUUGCCAGGGAAGGAAAGACCUUUGCUUUGAGUCAAGGUUGGAUGAAGACGAGACCCUCCUGGACCACUCCCGUCUGCAUCUGGCAGAGACAGCCCCUGGGUUUCCCCUGCACAAUCUGGCAGUAGUUAAGGCUACAACUGAUUCAACGCACGCCAUUGACCCAUUCGCAUUGAAGUCAAGAUCAACAGCCCUGUAACUCGCACCUCCACAAAACUUACCUACCAUACACUUUCCUUACAAGGUGAGAAGAGUGGGCAGCUCCUCAGCAUGAUGCAUAGGUCCAUUUCAGGCUGCAAAAUCGGUGACAAAAGCACAAAGUGCAACAAAGGAUGCCACUAAACAGACCACGAAGGACACAUUUUUACGGUACGAAAACAGAAGCAAGAAGGCUGCAGGUCACUGUUCAGCUCCACAUGGGAAUGUGUAUCUUAGGCUACUGUAAUUUUCCAGCGGCUUGUACAGGUCUGUGCUAGACUUGAACCCACCAUCUGUCUUGAUUUGUAGGUUAUAAAUCUUAGCAAGUAGGCAGAUUUGCAAAUACAGAGUCAUGGAGGAAUGAAGAUCAACCUUAAGUGAACACUAUGAAAUACUAUUCAGCAGUGAAAAUGAAGGGACUGCAGAUACAAACUCCAAUCUAGAUCAAUCUCAAACACAGUGUGCUGAGUGGAAGAAGCUGACAAACUGAAUGAUCUCAUUCAUACUACAUUCUUGAAAAGACAAAACUAGAGUGAAGGAGAAUAAUCAGGGGACAGAGGUGGCAAAAAGUGUCUCCAUGGUAAAAGGAUAGCAUAAGGAAAUUUUGGGAGGUGAUGAAACUGUGCUGUGUCCUGAUUGUGGUGUCAAAGUUCAUAAAAAUGCACUUCAAGGGGAAAGAGGUGAAUUCUAUUGUAUGAUAAUAAGACAUAAAAUACAUGCACCAUAGUAAUAAGUCACUAGAGAUGUGACAGCCUGAGCACCAGUUGCUACAUGGAACAGACCCUGUGGGAGGUGACUGCGGCCACCUAAAUCAUUGUGUCCUCCUGGUGGCUCAUCAGAAGAUUGGAAGCUGCCACCUGUGUGCUGGGACUAUGGCCUUGUGCCACUCUCAAGUGACAUGUCCUGCUAGUCACCAAAACAGGACAAUCAGCAGAAUCCUGGUGUAUCUCAGCCAUUUUCCAUUCAUCUAUUCCUCUGUGGAGGAGCCCCACUCUUCCAGAGAGCCCAGGGCACUGGUUUUUAUCCACACGCAGAGAUCUCCCCUUAGAAGUUACUGUUGCCCCUAGCAACCAGCUCGGCUCUCCAAACUGCUUUGAAUACAGACUGCUUUGGGAAGACUGCUCCUCGGAACUGAUUUCUAAAAGACCUCCUAUCACAUUGUGAACAAAACAUUCUUAAACAGAAAAUUUAACAAGAUUUUAAAACAAAGAUCCAAAGUAUUUUUAUCAUAUUCCAACUACAUGUUUGCUAAGUGUCUGGAGGGGGAUGCUCUGUACUUUGUAAAGGAAGCAAGAGAAUGAUGGGGGCAGAUCGUGAAACGCUAUCUAUUCUGAGGAACCAGAGAGCUAGAACUGAGAUAAUGUGAUAUCCCCAUUACAGCACCAGUCCAGGGCUGAGCCCAUAGUAGGUAUAUAACAAACACUAGAGGAAAUCAAAGUGAACCCCCAGGCAUAAAACAGUCGUUCGUUAUAAUUUCUGAUCACCAUCUAUGUAGUAGGGUCUGUACUGAGAAUACCCAAGCAAAACAGAAAUGAAUGAACUAUGGCCAACAAUGGCCCCCUUCUGGGGGUUUAAGUGCUUGGACAUACACAUAAAUAAAUUAAAUCAUUAAUUUUAAUUAGCUAAAUUACAAUUAUUGUUAUUGAACUCCGUAGUCAUCUUUCACCUCUACCAUCUUCUCUGCUAGUUCUCAAGGAUCAUUGUAUUAUCAGGCAAAUAAAUGCAAUAGAGUACAAGGAGCAUGCCAUGGAAAAGCGAGCAAGGGAAGCAUACUCAUUGAGGCCCUUUGGUUGCCAGUGGCACAUGAGCAUAACACAGUCAGUGGAUUCCUUUGCAAACUUUGGAAGAACACAAAACUCAAAUGGAAACAGAUGGGCAAUUCUGCUCUUCUGUGGUCCUUUGUCUCUGAUUUUUCUGGGGAAAAAAUAGUAGAUUUUCUCCCCAACUAGCACCAAAUGCCUUGGACGACAUUUAGUUCUUUCCUUAUAAUGAGACUCCACUACCUUCGCAGAGCCAACAAUAAAAAAGUUUUGAUGCUAUGGUGGGGAGCAGGAACUGGUCCUUCUCAGGACCCCAUGUAUUUGGAACUUUCAGAAUGCUAGACUCACUCAAGGAAGAGCCAAGGAAAGAAACUUCUCCCUGGAUUGUGUCACUGAUGCUAAGCAAGAUGAUGAACUCAAGACCUGCACGUGCCUUGCUCUCGUAGACCUCUGAACACAGACAGCCGGACUCCAGGAAAAGCUGACCUGUGGGUGUAAGAAUACCUUGGAGUCACCUAGUGAAGGAGCAGUAAGAUCUAAGGGAGCAGAAAGUUUAUUAUUAUUAUUAUUAUUAUUAUUUAAAGAAAGACAAAACAAAUUAGAAAAUGGGCAGAAGCAGUACAUACUUUCAAAGAAAAGAAAUAAACAGUAAUAAAUCACUAGUUGAUGUAUACAUA